UUUGGGAAAUGAUGCUAAUAAGAUCUAAACCGGUUACAUAAGCUCAGUGAUCUGUGCUCUGCUGAACAUGUUUUUGCACGUCAGUCUGAUCCCAAA